rnacentral:lncRNA from 1 species
GUACAUCAUGUCCUACACCGGUCAAUCCGCAACUGCAGUGUGUUCAGUUUCCUCCGUUUUACUAUGUUCCUCCUAGUUCCGUGAUCAUGAUUGACCAAGGCCUUACGGUUAAUCCAUGGGCUCCAUUACCGCCACAAGAUUUACUGGUUUUGAGAAGUAACAUCGUUAGACAAAUAGAGUAUUAUUUCAGUGAUAAAAAUCUAAAGAAGGAUCGUUACCUAAUUUCGAUUAUGGAUGACCAAGGAUGGGUUUCGAUAUCCACCAUCGCUGAAUUUAAUAGACUCAAGAAUAUGUGCACCGACAUACCGUUUAUCCUUGAUUCGUUGUUGUUGGGCUCGACCAGUGUGGA